UUGAAAAACCCGUUCGCCGAAAGCCUAAGGUUUCCUACGCAACGUUAAUCGGCGUAGGGUUAGUCGGCCCCUAAGGCGAGGGCGAGAGCCGUAGUCGAUGGAAAACAGGUUAACAUUCCUGUACCGAUGUAAGAUGCGAUGGGGGGACGAAGAAGGCUAAGUCAUCCAACGAUUGGAAGAGUUGGUUUAAGCUUGUAGGCAGAUUGACUAGGCAAAUCCGGUUGAUCAUUAAUGCUGAGGAGUGACGACGAGUGGCGUAAGCCGCGAAGUGACUGAUGCCCAGCUUCCUAGAAAAGCCUCUAAGCUUCAGUCUUAUAUUGACCGUACCGCAAACCGACACAGGUAGGCGAGAUGAGAAUUCUCAGGCGCUUGAGAGAACCCAGGUGAAGGAACUCGGCAAAUUAGCACCGUAACUUCGGGAGAAGGUGCGCCCCGGUAGAUUGUAGUGGCUUGCCCACGAAGGUCGAUGGGGUUGCAGUGAAAGGGUGGCUGCGACUGUUUAACAAAAACACAGCACUCUGCAAACACGAAAGUGGACGUAUAGGGUGUGACUCCUGCCCGGUGCCGGAAGGUUAAUUGAUGGGGUGCAAGCUCUUGAUCGAAGCCCCGGUAAACGGCGGCCGUAACUAUAACGGUCCUAAGGUAGCGAAAUUCCUUGUCGGGUAAGUUCCGACCCGCACGAAUGGAGUAACGAUGGCCACACUGUCUCCACCUGGGACUCAGCGAAAUUGAAAUGGUUGUGAAGAUGCAAUCUACCCGCGGCUAGACGGAAAGACCCCGUGCACCUUUACUGUAGCUUUACAUUGGACUUUGACAAGACGUGUGUAGGAUAGGUGGGAGACUAUGAAGUGGGAACGCUAGUUCUCAUGGAGUCAACCUUGAAAUACCACCCUCGUGUUGUUGAGGUUCUAACCUUGGUCCAUCAUCUGGAUUGGGGACAGUGUAUGGUAGGCAGUUUGACUGGGGCGGUCUCCUCCCAAAGAGUAACGGAGGAGUUCGAAGGUAUCCUAGAUACGGUCGGAAAUCGUAUUGAUAGUGCAAUGGCAUAAGGAUGCUUGACUGCGAGACUGACACGUCGAGCAGGUGCGAAAGCAGGACAUAGUGAUCCGGUGGUUCUGUAUGGAAGGGCCAUCGCUCAACGGAUAAAAGGUACGCCGGGGAUAACAGGCUGAUACCGCCCAAGAGUUCAUAUCGACGGCGGUGUUUGGCACCUCGAUGUCGGCUCAUCACAUCCUGGGGCUGUAGCCGGUCCCAAGGGUAUGGCUGUUCGCCAUUUAAAGUGGUACGUGAGCUGGGUUCAAAACGUCGUGAGACAGUUUGGUCCCUAUCUACCGUGGGCGCUGGAAGUUUGAGGGGGGCUGCUUCUAGUACGAGAGGACCGAAGUGGACGCACCUCUGGUGUACCGGUUGUCACGCCAGUGGCAUAGCCGGGUAGCUAUGUGCGGAAAAGAUAAUCGCUGAAAGCAUCUAAGCGAGAAACUUGCCUCAAGAUAAGACUUCCCUGGAGACUUGAUCUCCCUAAAGGGUCGUUGCAGACUACAACGUUGAUAGGCUGGGUGUGUAAGCGCAGUAAUGCGUUGAGCUAACCAGUACUAAUUGCCCGUGAGGCUUGAUC
rnacentral:rRNA from 1 species